UACGGGGGGGGCAAGCGUUGUUCGGAAUUACUGGGCGUAAAGGGUUUGUAGGCGGCCAACUAAGUCAGACGUGAAAUCCCUCAGCUUAACUGGGGAACUGCGUCUGAUACUGGUUGGCUUGAGUGCAGGAGAGGAAUGCGGAAUUCCAGGUGUAGCGGUGAAAUGCGUAGAUAUCUGGAGGAACACCGGUGGCGAAGGCGGCAUUCUGGACUGCAACUGACACUGAAAGACGAAAGCCAGGGGAGCAAACGGG
rnacentral:rRNA from 1 species